AAAUUUCUUCCUGAGGGGCCAGAAGGAAGUAACAUCCAUGAGCCAGAGCUAAAAUUAUCUUUCUGCUGACCCCAAAUUUUUAAAUAAAGUUUGUCUUCCUUAACCAAUUGCAAAUCAGAAAAUCUUUGAAUCUAUCUAUAACCUGUAACACCCUGCUUCAAGAUAUCUUGCCCUUUUAGGCCAAAAUCAAUGUUUAAUCACCAUGUAUUGAUUUACAAUUUUGCAUCUUGCUUCUGCUUUCCUGAAAUUUAGCCCUGCCUUUAAAAAUCCUAACCUGUGAGCUAGUGUGGAGGUCAAGUCUUAAAUAUGAGCUGUGUAAUUGUCUUUGCUUGGAGUCUUGCAAAUAAAUGAAUGCCUUUCUCCCACUGCAGACCUCCGUGUGGAUGUUUGGUUUUACUGCACCAGGCGAGCAGACCCCAGUUUGCUUCGGGCAGUUAUGAGGAAGGCACUGUCCUGAGAAUGGGAAAAGUCCCUGACAAGACUCUGGUUCUGUCUUCUGAAGGAACCCUCGUGUCCACUGUCCUCUUGGCUCUCCUCCCUGGGAAGUUCUCCUUCAGCCAGUUAUCCUACAUGGGCUCAUCUGAAGGGGCAGCAAGGAGGGUGCCCUGACUUGGGGCUGCAAGGCUUUCACAACCCACUUCCUUGUGGUGGAGAGAGGAUGCGGUGUUGUUUUGAACCUCAAAUAAUAAAUUAUUUUGCU
rnacentral:lncRNA from 10 species